UGGUCUAACUACAUAAACCCAACAUCCGACCAUUGGGCUGCCCAAGCCACUCCACCGAAACCUGUGUUGGCUGACCAAUCCAGUGAACGUGCAUGUUCCAGUUCACUUGAUACCAUCGAAGGAUUGGAUCCUGCAACAACAGGAAUAAAUCUAAGCAAUGGAGCAAAAUAGAAGUCAGAUAAUUGGUUCUGACUUCCACCCCCCGAACAUAUAAGAGAUGUCACUCAAGAGGCACCCGAAUCAGUUCUUCAAGUUCUACAGGAUUACUCCGUGUCAUCUUGAUCAGCCAACCAUCUUCAUGAGAUUUGUUGACAAGUCCUGGAUUUUCAGCAAGAGCUUCAUUAAUUUCUGUUACUUCUCCUGAUAGACGUGAAUAAAGUUCACUAGCAGCUUUCACAAUUUGCAAAGCACCAAACUCCUCGUUUGUUCAAUUUUGUCCCAACCUCGGGAAGAUUACAGUUAACGACAUCUGCCAAAGCUUCUUGUGCAAAAUUGCUGAUUCCCAGUGUUCCCUUACCAUUUUCUGUUGUUAUCCAUUCAUGUUUCUGUGAAUUUCCGCACCGAGAGCAGAAAGGGACCGGAGUGCAGCGUGCGAGCAGCGCCUGUCUUCAGCCCCCAGCCCC